GACGAACGCUGGCGGCGUGGAUUAGGCAUGCAAGUCGAACGGUAUAAAACCUUUCGGGGUUUAGAGAGUGGCGAACGGGUGAGUAACACGUAGGUAAUCUACCCUCAAAACGGGGACAACCCAGGGAAACUUGGGCUAAUACCGGAUGCGUGCAGAGCUUGUUUUUGCUGUUUAAGAUAGUCACGGAAGUGGUUAUUAAGAGCAAGUAAGAGCGGGUUUUGCAUAAAAGGUGGCGUAAGCUGUCGUUUGAGGAUGAGCCUGCGUCCUAUUAGUUAGUUGGUGAGGUAAUGGCUUACCAAGGCGAUGAUAGGUAGGCGGCCUUAACGGGUGGUCGCCCACACUGGGAUUGAGAUACGGCCCAGACUCCUACGGGAGGCAGCAGUCGAGAAUAGUCUACAAUGGACGAAAGUCUGAUAGUGCGACGCCGCGUGAACGAAGAAUCCGUUUCGGGGUGUAAAGUUCUUUUCUAUGUGAGCAGUUCCUUUUAUAUGAAGAGUAUAGAAGGGGGUAUUUAAGCAUAGGAAUAAGCAACGGCUAAC
rnacentral:rRNA from 1 species